rnacentral:rRNA from 1 species
UGGGGAAUAUUGCACAAUGGGCGCAAGCCUGAUGCAGCCAUGCCGCGUGUGUGAAGAAGGCCUUCGGGUUGUAAAGCACUUUCAGCGAGGAGGAAGGUGGUGAGCUUAAUACGCUCAUCAAUUGACGUUACUCGCGGAAGAAGCACCGGCUAACUCCGUGCCAGCAGCCGCGGUAAUACGGAGGGUGCAAGCGUUAAUCGGAAUUACUGGGCGUAAAGCGCACGCAGGCGGUUUGUUAAGUCAGAUGUGAAAUCCCCGGGCUCAACCUGGGAACUGCAUUUGAAACUGGCAAGCUAGAGUCUCGUAGAGGGGGGUAGAAUUCCAGGUGUAGCGGUGAAAUGCGUAGAGAUCUGGAGGAAUACCGGUGGCGAAGGCGGCCCCCUGGACGAAGACUGACGCUCAGGUGCGAAAGCGUGGGGCAGCAAACAGGAUUAGAUACCCUGGUAGUCCACGCUGUAAACGAUGUCGAUUUUGGAGGUUGUGCCCUUGAGGCGUGGCUUCCGGAGCUAACGCGUUAAAUCGACCGCCUGGGGAGUACGGCCGCAAGGUUAAAACUUAAAUGAAUUGACGGGGUC